AUUGAACGCUGGCGGCAUGCUUUACACAUGCAAGUCGAACGGCAGCGCGGGCUUCGGCCUGGCGGCGAGUGGCGAACGGGUGAGUAAUACAUCGGAACGUGCCCAGUCGUGGGGGAUAGCUCGGCGAAAGCCGGAUUAAUACCGCAUACGACCUGAGGGUGAAAGCGGGGGAUCUUCGGACCUCGCGCUAUUGGAGCGGCCGAUGGCAGAUUAGCUAGUUGGUGGGGUAAAGGCCUACCAAGGCGACGAUCUGUAGCUGGUCUGAGAGGACGACCAGCCACACUGGGACUGAGACACGGCCCAGACUCCUACGGGAGGCAGCAGUGGGGAAUGUUGGACAAUGGGCGAAAGCCUGAUCAAGCAAUGCCGCGUGUGUGAUGAAGGCCUUCGGGUUGUAAAGCACUUUUGGCGGGAACGAAAAGGACUGUGCCAAUACCACGGUUCGAUGACGGUACCCGCAGAAUAAGCACCGGCUAACUACGUG
rnacentral:rRNA from 1 species